rnacentral:sRNA from 1 species
UUGAACUUCAGGGACUCCCAGAAAGAU